rnacentral:misc_RNA from 1 species
UUUCCGUAGGUGAACCUGCGGAAGGAUCAUUACCGAGUGUGGGUCUCUCAAGACCGAACUCCCACCCUGUGUUUUGUUGACCUUGUUGCUUUGGCGGGGCCGCCCCGAUGAGAGGCACCCGGCAGCCCACCGCGUUGGGCACGUGCCCGCCAGUCGCCCCCUUUAAUUCUUAAUAGAACUGUCGACUGAAUCAAAAUAUUAUAAAAAAAACUUUCAACAACGGACAUCUUGGUUCUAGCAACCAUAACGAACGCAGAAGAUCCGGAACACAAACCACCA